rnacentral:rRNA from 1 species
CUAUGUUGGGGGCGCGGCGCACAGCUCAAUAACACGUGGCUAACCUGCCCUUGGGAUAGGGACAACCCCGGGAAACUGGGGCUAAUCCCCAAUAGGCGAAGGCUCCUGGAAUGGAUCUUCACCCGAAAGGAAUCUAGAUCAUGCUUCUAGGUGUCGCCCAAGGAUGGGGCCGCGGCCGAUCAGGUUGUUGGUGAGGUAAUGGCCCACCAAGCCUUUUACCGGUGCGGGCCGUGAGAGCGGGAGCCCGGAGAUGGGCACUGAGACAAGGGCCCAGGUCCUACGGGGCGCAGCAGUCGCGAAACCUUUGCAAUACACGCAAGUGUGACAGGGCCAUCCCGAGUGCCGACCGCUGAGGUUGGCUUUUAAUCAGUCUAGAAAGCUGGGAGAAUAAGGAGAGGGCAAGUCUGGUGUCAGCCGCCGCGGUAAUACCAGCUCUCCGAGUGGUGUGGACGUUUAUUGGGCCUAAAGCAUCCGUAGCUGGCUGAACAAGUCCCCUGUUAAACCCAACGAUUUAAUCGUUGGCUUGCGGGGGAAACUGCUCGGCUAGGAGACGGGAGAGGCAGACGGUAUUCUCGGGGUAGGGGUGAAAUCCUAUAAUCCCGAGAAGACCACCAGUGGCGAAGGCUGUCUGCUAGAACGCGCUCGACGGUGAGGGAUGAAAGCUGGGGGAGCGAACCGGAUUAGAUACCCGGGUAGUCCCAGCUGUAAACGAUGCAGGCUAGGUGUUUGGACGGCCACGUGCCGUUCUAGUGCCGCAGGGAAGCUGUUAAGCCUGCCGCCUGGGGAGUACGAUCGCAAGAUUGAAACUCAA